GCGCCGAAUACAACAGGUAUUACAGUGAAAUGCUGACUUACGAGCCCCUAACCGACAAUGCAGUUUUAAAAAAUACAGAUAAGAUUAAGAGAUAAAAGUAACAAGUAAUUAAAGAGGAGCAGUAAAAAAUAACAUUAUAUACAGGCGGUGUGGAGGCUAUAUACAGGGUAUUACGGUACAGAGUCAAUGUGGAGGCUAUAUACAGGGGGUACUGGUACAGAGUCAAUGUGGAGACUAUAUACAGGGUGUUACGGUACAGAGUCAAUGUGGAGGUUAUAUACAGGGGGUACUGGUACAGAGUCAAUGUGGAGACUAUAUACAGGGGGUACCGGUACAGAGUCAAUGUGGAGACUAUAUACAGGGGGUACCGGUACAGAGUCAAUGUGGAGGCUAUAUACAGGGUAUUACGGUACAGAGUCAAUGUGGAGGCUAUAUACAGGGGGUACUGGUACAGAGUCA
ensembl:lncRNA